AUUGAACGCUGGCGGCAUGCCUUACACAUGCAAGUCGAACGGCAGCGGACCUUCGGGUGCCGGCGAGUGGCGAACGGGUGAGUAAUGUAUCGGAACGUACCUUUCAGUGGGGGAUAACGUAGCGAAAGUUACGCUAAUACCGCAUAUUCUGUGAGCAGGAAAGCAGGGGAUCGCAAGACCUUGCGCUGAUUGAGCGGCCGAUAUCAGAUUAGCUAGUUGGUGAGGUAAAGGCUCACCAAGGCGACGAUCUGUAGCGGGUCUGAGAGGAUGAUCCGCCACACUGGAACUGAGACACGGUCCAGACUCCUACGGGAGGCAGCAGUGGGGAAUUUUGGACAAUGGGGCAACCCUGAUCCAGCCAUGCCGCGUGCGGGAAGAAGGCCUUCGGGUUGUAAACCGCUUUCGGACGGAAAGAAAUCGCACGGGCCAAUACCCUGUGUGGAUGACGGUACCGUAAGAAGAAGCACCGGCUAACUACGUGCCAGCAGCCGCAGUAAUAC
rnacentral:rRNA from 1 species